rnacentral:rRNA from 1 species
AAUCAACGCUGGCGGCGUGCCUCAGACAUGCAAGUCGAACGCGAAAGCCCCUUUCGGGGGGCAAGUAGAGUGGCGCACGGGUGAGUAACACGUAGGUAAUCUACCUUUGGAUUGGGAAUAACCACCGGAAACGGUGGCUAAUACCGAAUAAUGCAGCGGCACCUAAUGGUGACAGUUGUUAAAGCGGGGGAUCGCAAGACCUCGCGUCUGAAGAGGAGCCUGCGGCAGAUUAGCUAGUUGGUAAGGUAACGGCUUACCAAGGCGAUGAUCUGUAGCCGGCCUGAGAGGGCGGUCGGCCACACUGACACUGACAUACGGGUCAGACUCCUACGGGAGGCAGCAGUCGGGAAUUUUGGGCAAUGGGCGCAAGCCUGACCCAGCAACGCCGCGUGAAGGAUGAAAUCCCUCGGGAUGUAAACUUCGCAAGAACGGGAAGAAUAAGCCGGUGUUAACAUCACCGGUGAUGACGGUACUGUUUGUAAGCUCCGGCUAACUCCGUGC